rnacentral:lncRNA from 1 species
AUAUUGUUAGAAUAGAUAUAGGAAGAUGUGGUGUGAGUGCCAAUGAGACAACUCUCCAUACAAAUAACAAUUUAAAAAGUAAACCAUUAUAGGUUAAAGUACGGCCUUCAACACGGAGCUUUGGCUCACACCGAACAACAAGCUAUAAAGGGCCCCAAAAUUACUAGUGUAAAACCAUUCAAACGGGAAAACCAACGGUCUAAUCUAUAUAAACAAAACGAGAAACGAGAAACACGUAUAUAUUACAUAAACAAACGACAACUACUGUACAUCAGAUUCCUGACUUAGGACAGGUGCAAACAUUUGCAGCGGG